UUCGUUAGAUGAGAGAAUGCUGCUUAUAUCAGUAUGCUGCGUGGGUGCUUGUUAUGACAAUAUUAUUUUACAACAUCCGGUGUAAAAGUUGAAGUAAAGCGGAAGACAAAAACCUCUCUUUAUUCUGACUGGUUUUGAACAACAGAGAGUACGAAGUUCAUUAUCAACAACAGAUUAUUUAUCCAUUCUACAAAAGUAUUUGUACAAAGGGGCGUGCGGUGUUAACACUGAUUCAAUACAAGAGAACCUGCAUUGUUGGAGCGUUUUCAAUUGAUGAUUCAAAGUGAAGAAUUUUGACACCCAACAGGUUUAUAACAACUGAUUAGCGUGAUCCAAACUUAAUCAAACGGAAAUUGAAAUGGGAAACAUUGUUUGGAACUUGUGCUGCAUUAUCCUCCUGGUUGCAACAAUUCAGCCACAACCCGCUAUGACGCUUUACGAAGACCUCAGCAGCCUAUGUUUGCUCCACAUAAAAUCCGAACAUUUUAAAACUCUGAUACCAAACAUAUCUUACAGAGCGACACCUUACCCAUAUGCGACAAAAGACACCAAUAUAACAUUGGAAUGUACCGGCUCGGUCAAGAUUAACUCCCCAAACCAAGGAUAUAUGACAAGGGUGGAAUUUCGUAAGAACAAUAAUGACAUACACAAAUGUGAAGUUGAAGAAGUACUUCGUUAUAAAACUCUCUCCUGCAGUGUUAC